AUGAAAAGAAUAGACAAGAGAGACAAGUUUCCCAGCAGGAAGCUUGCUGACGAGCGGCUGGAGCCCUGGAGCGCAGGGGACAGAAUCCCACCCAAGCUCAGCAUUCGGUUGCGUUUUGCCCGGGGCAAGACCUGUGCUAAUACCAGAACGAUCCGCUGCUCUAAAGAACUUCAAACACUAAAGCGUACAUUAGGAAGCAUACGCGAUGCUCUCAGAUGCGUUUCUCAUGAUCAAAACUGCAGAGAUCCAGAGUUCAGUGGAGAUGCCAUGGGAGCUGAACUCCGUUUGCAGGCCCACCUUAGGGUAGAUGCUGUCUGCAAGGGCCCUGCCUCCUCUUGGGUUAUCAUCUUCCUCUGCUUCCUGCCUGCAGACCAAAGAAAACCCCAGGCACAGUGGCUUCAUUAA
rnacentral:lncRNA from 1 species